rnacentral:rRNA from 1 species
UACAGAGGGGCAAGCGUUGUUCGGAAUUACUGGGCGUAAAGGGCGCGUAGGCGGCCUUUCUAAGUCGAACGUGAAAUCCCUCGGCUUAACCGGGGACUGCGUCCGAUACUGGAGGGCGUUGAGUGUGGGAGAGGGAUGCGGAAUUCCAGGUGUAACGGUGAAAUGCGUAGAUAUCUGGAGGAACACCGGUGGCGAAGGCGGAUCUCUGGGCCUUACCUGACGCUCAGGUGCGAAAGCUAGGGGAGCGAACGAGGA